AGUCAGCAACACCGUUCCAACGGUCACUACGCCUUCCCAGCGUGACGUAGCGCGCUGAUUUGUAACAGGUUUUCAUUCCAGAGGAGACUGUGCAUAAAACUAUAAUGAGUGGGAACUACAGCCACGAGAAUUUUUUUUAAAUAUUGCACUGAGAUAUACUACCUGACUGGCAGAUCAUCCCUGCAGUGCAUAAACCGACUGUAUCACACUUGGGAACAAAAGCCUUAAUCACAAAUUGCCCAGAUCCAGUGGUCAGUAAGACAGUGAAUAUGGGUCUUGGGUCCACUGGUACGUCUUCUCAAGCACCUCACUUCUACCACUAUGCCCCAAGUGUCCCACAAUCUAGAAGAAAUGUGCCUGGUAUGGAGAACUGUGAGGGCUCAUGAACAGAAGUGCCCAACGAUUUGCUGGAAGAGCACCCAGCGUCCCCACAGCAAUGGUAUCUGUGGCAGAUAAGGCAUGCACUCAACUGCUGGGGAAAUUUGAUUUGACAUCAC